rnacentral:rRNA from 1 species
UGGGGAAUAUUGCGCAAUGGAGGAAACUCUGACGCAGUGACGCCGCGUAUAGGAAGAAGGUUUUCGGAUUGUAAACUAUUGUCGUUAGGGAAGAUAAAAGACUGUACCUAAGGAGGAAGCCCCGGCUAACUAUGUGCC